CCAUUUGUUUGCAACCAACGCCGUCCAUUGACAUUCAUUGAAACUUCACUCUGCAAAGCUCAAAUUUGAAGUACAAUUUCUAAACUGCGACUGUGCCUUCAAUUUUAAUACGUCAGAGACAUACUAUGCAUCAAAAUGUAGGUCUGGGUCUUGUGAUUCUCACAAUAUAAAGCUCUUCGCUGUAGGAUUUAUAGUUUUUAAAAUAUGACCGUUUGAAGAUGGCAACCACCAAAAUACUCUGACC